rnacentral:rRNA from 1 species
UACGUAGGGCGCAAGCGUUGUCCGGAAUUAUUGGGCGUAAAGAGCUCGUAGGCGGUCUGUCGCGUCGGAUGUGAAAGCCCGGGGCUUAACCCCGGGUCUGCAUUCGAUACGGGCAGACUAGAGUGUGGUAGGGGAGAUCGGAAUUCCUGGUGUAGCGGUGAAAUGCGUAGAUAUCGGGAGGAACACCAGUGGCGAAGGCGACUUCCUGGCCUGUUCUUGACGCUGAGGCGCGAAAGCUAGGGGAGCAAACGGG